rnacentral:lncRNA from 1 species
AAACCGGGUCGGUCCUGACGGUCAGAAGUUAGUGACCCCGCACACUUCUGGCCAAAUAUCUUUUGCGGGAAGACGUCUCAUGAUGAUAAGUAAUUAAAUAUAAAUUAUUUCAUUAUUAUUUCAUUUUUAAUUAUUGCUAUAAUUUAUUAAAUAUUUUUGACUAAUGUUUAUUAAUUGGUAGGCCGAGGAGAACGGAGGAGAACUUCCUCCAAUGACGAAGCUCUUCGAGACCACUCACCGGAAGAGGGACGGGAGCUUUGUCGACGCUCGGUCAGAGGAGAUCUACAAUGCCGCUAUUCAGCGGAUCGCCGAG